rnacentral:misc_RNA from 1 species
AUGUUGCAGGGUUGGUCUGACACGCUCGUUGAAUGUGACCUGGCCUUCCGCAUGCCCGACAUUUUUCCAUCAGAAAUCUGCAGUUGGUUUGUUCUAACAAGUACCAGCACUAAAUACAAUGUAGAGGAAUCCAUGCGGGCAGUGGAGUACUAUGUGUACUUAUGGAGAUUCGGAGAUUUUAUUGAAGAGGUUUUGCAAUGUUCCAGAAUCCUGCCCGAUGAAAGCUGCUCCCGCAAGCACGUGUGGUCCUACCUAAAGAAGUACAUUUACAAUCUUUGGAAUGUCUUGGAUUGGCUUUCACACUUAACGCUUGUUGUAGCACUCUUUCUACGACACUUCCUUCAAAGCGAAGGGCAACAAUAUGCAAGAAAUAUGUUUGCUUUAUCCCUGCUGUUUAUAUAUUUGAGAUUUUAUGAGACAUUUCUCAUUUACAAGAUUCCCGGAACAACAGUAAUCAUGGUUAAAGAAAUGGAGUCGGAAUGUAUUACCAUGCAAACCUUUGGCCGGACCAUCAAGCAAUGUGGGGUGGAAGUUGGUCUAAUUUCAGAUUAUGGACCAUUUUAUCGCACCCAUACUGGCAAAUAUUCGGAGAGAUUGAUUUAGAAUUAUUAACCGGUAGCAAUCAAGACAACUGCAGCAAUAACCGCUCUAUAUGGGAGGCAGUCCCGUCCAUGGAACGAUGUCCACAGCAGGAUUGGACGGUUCCAGUCGUAGCAGGGUUAUACAUGAUGUUUACCAAUCUCCUUCUGGUGAACAUCGUCAUAGUUCAAUUCAG